AGAGUUUGAUCCUGGCUCAGAUUGAACGCUGGCGGCAUGCUUUACACAUGCAAGUCGAACGGCAGCACGGGUGCUUGCACCUGGUGGCGAGUGGCGAACGGGUGAGUAAUAUAUCGGAACGUACCCGGGAAUGGGGGAUAACGUAACGAAAGUUACGCUAAUACCGCAUAUGCCCUGAGGGGGAAAGUGGGGGACCGUAAGGCCUCACGUUGUCGGAGCGACCGAUAUCAAAUUAGCUAGUUGGUGGGGUAAAGGCCCACCAAAGCAACGAUCUGUGGCUGGUCUGAAAGGACGACCAGCCACACUGGGACUGAGACACGGCCCACACUCCUACGGGAGGCAGCAGUGGGGAAUUUUGGACAAUGGGGGCAACCCUGAUCCAUCCAUGCCGCGUGAGUGAAGAAGGCCUUCUGGUUGUAAAGCUCUUUCGGACAGAAAGAAAUCUCACUUGAUAAUACCUUGUGUGGAUGACGGUACUGAAAGAAGAACCACCGGCUAACUACCUGCCACCAGCCGCGGUAAUACGUAGGGUGCGAGCGUUAAUCGUAAUUACUGGGCGUAAAGCGUGCGCAGGCGGUUUUGAAAGACAUACGUUAAAUCCCCGGGCUUAACCUGUGAACUGCGUUUGUGACUGCAAGGCUAGAGUGCGACAGAGGGGGGUAGAAUUCCACGUGUAUCAAUGAAAUGCGUAUAGAUGUGGAGGAAUACCGAUGGCGAAGCACCCCCCUGUGUCGACACUGACGCUCAUGCACGAAAGCGUGGGAGCAAACAUGAAUACAUACCCUGUUAGUCCACGCCCU
rnacentral:rRNA from 1 species